GACGAACGCUGGCGGCGUGCCUAAUACAUGCAAGUAGAACGCUGAAGGAGGAGCUUGCUUCUCUGGAUGAGUUGCGAACGGGUGAGUAACGCGUAGGUAACCUGCCUGGUAGCGGGGGAUAACUAUUGGAAACGAUAGCUAAUACCGCAUAACAGUAGAUAUCGCAUGAUAUCUACUUGAAAGGUGCAAUUGCAUCACUACCAGAUGGACCUGCGUUGUAUUAGCUAGUUGGUGAGGUAACGGCUCACCAAGGCGACGAUACAUAGCCGACCUGAGAGGGUGAUCGGCCACACUGGGACUGAGACACGGCCCAGACUCCUACGGGAGGCAGCAGUAGGGAAUCUUCGGCGAUGGACGGAAGUCUGACCGAGCAACGCCGCGUGAGUGAAGAAGGUUUUCGGAUCGUAAAGCUCUGUUGUAAGAGAAGAACGAGUGUGAGAGUGGAAAGUUCACACUGUGACGGUAUCUUACCAGAAAGGGACGGCUAACUACGUG
rnacentral:rRNA from 1 species